rnacentral:rRNA from 1 species
AACGAACGCUGGCGGCAUGCCUAACACAUGCAAGUCGAACGAGACCUUCGGGUCUAGUGGCGCACGGGUGCGUAACGCGUGGGAACCUGCCCUUAGGUUCGGAAUAACUCCCCGAAAGGGGUGCUAAUACCGGAUAAUGUCUUCGGACCAAAGAUUUAUCGCCUUUGGAUGGGCCUGCGUUGGAUUAGCUAGUUGGUAGGGUAAAAGCCUACCAAGGCGACGAUCCAUAGCUGGUCUGAGAGGAUGAUCAGCCACACUGGGACUGAGACACGGCCCAGACUCCUACGGGAGGCAGCAGUGGGGAAUAUUGGACAAUGGGCGAAAGCCUGAUCCAGCAAUGCCGCGUGAGUGAUGAAGGCCUUAGGGUUGUAAAGCUCUUUUACCCGGGAUGAUAAUGACAGUACCGGGAGAAUAAGCCCCGGCUAACUACGUG